UUGCUGGGAAGCCGAAACGCAUAUGUUGCACAAUAUUUAAGCAGAUCCGCAAAAUCAACAUGUUCUUGAUGUGCCUGCACAACCACGUUCCCAGGGCUUUCGUGUAAAGACGAGCGGGGAGAAGAGAAAGCCAUUCUCUGGCCCGAUCACGUGAUAUGGGCAUAUUUGACAGAUACUCGUCAAGGAGUAGCGAUUUAUUCUGACUGAACUAUACUGGCUUCUGAAACAAAAACUGCUGAACAC